rnacentral:misc_RNA from 1 species
GAUGAAGAACGUAGCGAAAUGCGAUAAGUAAUGUGAAUUGCAGAAUUCAGUGAAUCAUCGAAUCUUUGAGCGCACAUUGCGCCCCCUGGUAUUCCGGGGGGCAUGCCUGUUCGAGCGUCAUUUCACCACUCAAGCCUCGCUUGGUAUUGGGCAACGCGGUCCGCCGCGUGCCUCAAAUCGACCGGCUGGGUCUUCUGUCCCCUAAGCGUUGUGGAAACUAUUCGCUAAAGGGUGUUCGGGAGGCUACGCCGUAAAACAACCCCAUUUCUAAGGUUGACCUCGGAUCAGGUAGGGAUACCCGCUGAACUUAAGCAUAUCAAUAAGCGGAGGA